UACGAAGGGGACUAGCGUUGUUCGGAAUCACUGGGCGUAAAGCGCGCGUAGGCGGCCUUGCAAGUUAGAGGUGAAAGCCCGGAGCUCAACUCCGGAACUGCCUUUAAAACUGCAUAGCUUGAAUCCGGGAGAGGUGAGUGGAAUUCCGAGUGUAGAGGUGAAAUUCGUAGAUAUUCGGAAGAACACCAGUGGCGAAGGCGGCUCACUGGACCGGUAUUGACGCUGAGGUGCGAAAGCGUGGGGAGCAAACAGG
rnacentral:rRNA from 1 species